rnacentral:rRNA from 1 species
GACGAACGCUGGCGGCGUGCUUAACACAUGCAAGUCGAACGGAAAGGCCCUGCUUGCAGGGUGCUCGAGUGGCGAACGGGUGAGUAACACGUGGGUGAUCUGCCCCUUACUUUGGGAUAAGCCUGGGAAACUGGGUCUAAUACUGGAUAGGACCAUGCUGUAGGUGGUGUGGUGGAAAGAUUAGAUUCGGUAAGGGAUGAGCUCGCGGCCUAUCAGCUUGUUGGUGGGGUAAUGGCCUACCAAGGCGUCGACGGGUAGCCGGCCUGAGAGGGUGGACGGCCACAUUGGGACUGAGAUACGGCCCAGACUCCUACGGGAGGCAGCAGUGGGGAAUAUUGCACAAUGGGCGCAAGCCUGAUGCAGCGACGCCGCGUGGGGGAUGACGGCCUUCGGGUUGUAAACUCCUUUCAGCCAUGACGAAGCCCUUGUGGUGACGGUAGUGGUAGAAGAAGCACCGGCUAACUACGU